AUCAUAGCCUGGAUAUGGAUUCUAUGGUCAUGAUGAUGCCUAUAACUGGCCAUUUGAAACCGAUUGUCUUAUAUCAAGAUCUUGAGUUGGUUUGAUGUCGAUAAGUGUCAACUAUGUCAUGCUGUAUAAAUACAUCAAAAAAGGAUCACCAUCGUAAAAGGGUCACCAUCAACAGAUUCUGGGCGAAUGUAAUGACAGGCACUUUAUUUAUUUGCUGCCUACAUGCAACAUUAUUUCUUUAGCAAGGGGGUCUACUGUAUAUUGAUUAAUUUAAUACAGUCUUUGUUUUUUCCCUAUCCUUGUCUCAUUGUACAUGCCAAAGCUGCCUCUCUUUGACAAGUAAAAUUUGUGGUGUGAGGCAAUCAAGUAUUAUUGCCACACAGGUAGCAAUAAACAGAGCACCUUGCCUGUAAUGGGCUAACAAA
rnacentral:lncRNA from 1 species